rnacentral:rRNA from 1 species
UACGUAGGGUCCGAGCGUUGUCCGGAAUUAUUGGGCGUAAAGGGCUCGUAGGCGGUUCGUCACGUCGGGAGUGAAAACUCGGGGCUUAACCCCGAGCCUGCUUCCGAUACGGGCAGACUAGAGGUAGGCAGGGGAGAGCGGAACUCCUGGUGUAGCGGUGGAAUGCGCAGAUAUCAGGAAGAACACCCGUGGCGAAGGCGGCUCUCUGGGACGGUACUGACGCUGAGACGCGAAAGCGUGGGGAGCAAACAGG